rnacentral:siRNA from 1 species
ACGACUGAUGACGCCAAACAGGAU